CGUUAAUCAAGAUAUAGAGAGACUCCUGAAAGCUUUAAAUGGAGUUGAGAAAGUUGAUAUCAGUGGGAGAAGCAUCACCGUAAAGCAUAAUUAUAAUUCUAAAGACGGAUCUGAGUUUGUUAACGCGCUGAAGGGGCGUUUCAAGGCCUCAGUUGUGAAGCUCACCAAGGAGUAGAUUUGUGAAGCUUACAAAUAGAAAUAAAAUUGAGCUGAGCGUUGGAUAGACUUCUUGGCGAUUUGAGCAGUGUUUUAAUAAAGCGUUCAGUACUAUAAUAUUUGUAUUGUUUGUUCUUAAUAGAAUAUUAAAGAAAUAAUUAUCUUUAUGUAGACAAGGUUCAGAAACAUUUGAAAUUUAUAUAUCAUUUAACAUUAGUCA